AUACGGAGGGUGCAAGCGUUAUCCGGAAUCAUUGGGUUUAAAGGGUCCGCAGGCGGACUGAUAAGUCAGUGGUGAAAUCCAGUAGCUUAACUACUGAACUGCCAUUGAAACUGUCAGUCUUGAAUUAGGUCGAAGUGGGCGGAAUGUGUCAUGUAGCGGUGAAAUGCAUAGAUAUGACACAGAACACCGAUAGCGAAGGCAGCUCACUAAGCCUGAAUUGACGCUCAGGGACGAAAGCGUGGGGAGCGAACAGGAUUAGAAACCCUUGUAGUCC
rnacentral:rRNA from 1 species